UGAGUCUAGGACACCUCAGCAGUACUGUAGUCUCCUGAGGAAUGUGUUGUGAGAAAGCCAAACUUGGAGAUUUGAGAAUUAA